AACAUCUUGGCGAGGGGCAUUCACAUAUGCCCACGUAAAGUGCAGAGGCCCUUUGCACAGAAUCCCGGCGGGGGCCCUCGGCGGCUCUGACCCUCAGCCUGCACCGUGAGCGUCCUGUGCCCUGGCCAGGGCAAAGACUCUGACCACAGACCCUUCACCUGGUAGAGCGUCCCCGACCAGCCCAUCUGCACAACGAGCCUGUGGGCUGGGGCCGGCCCCCUGCAUUGGGCCCCUCACAACCGGUCUGUCUCCAUCCCAUGCCCUGAAUCUGCCCCCAGGAACCCUCAGUGUCACACCCACCCUGUGGGCCAGGUCAAUGUGCUCAACACUGGGGUGCUGAGGACAUGGGGGUGUGCCCUCCAACAAGGGCUGUGCUGGGACAGACCCAACUGUGAGGCCACAGUUGACCUCCCAGGGGGACACAGGGCUCUGCUGCUCCAGAGACGCAGCCCUCCCAGGAGGGCUCCCUGAGUGCACACUCUCUUCUGGGCUUCCCGGGUGCGGGGCCUCCCCUGGCACAGUACAGCCCCUCACAGCACAGCCCUCGCUGGGCUCUAGCUCUGUAUCUGUGCUCCUGGCAGGCCAGCACCCCAUCGCAGUGUCCUGUGCCUCUCAGGGCCCAGGGUGACCCCUCCCCAGCACAGUUGCCCUGCAGGACUCCUGCCAGUCCCAUUCACGCUGGCCUGCCAUUUCGGAGGCAGCCUUGGUAACCGAUGCUCAAAUGACCACUGCCCAGGCCAGAAUCUCAGAGAAGACCACAGGUCCCCGGUACACUUUGAUGGGGAAGCCUCCGCGUGGGAUCCCUGGGCCCUGAACACCCUCCUUUCUCACUGUGCCUCCCUCCCCUGCGAAGGGCGUCCUCAGCUGCUUCUGAAACCUGGGGGGCUGUGGUGGGAAACAGGUAGGUCACGUGGUUUCCAGGCUUUUCAAGCCCACUUUUUUCAAUCUUAGAGAUUUCACAGAAAAACCCGUGUUUUCAGCUUCUCUUGAAAAGUCAGAUCUGCCCUCAGGUGCCACCCACUUCCCCUGGG
rnacentral:antisense_RNA from 1 species